GUGUGCCCACCCACACUCACAUUUAUGUUAUGAUACAGUGCUUUGUUUGGAGAGAUACUCAUGCCUAUUUGCUCAUAUGUUCUGAUGCCAAGCUAAUUUGAUGGAUUCAGAUCGAUUUGUCUGGACCUGUAAAUGACAGUUAAAUGACGGCUGUUUUCACCGCUUUUUUACAGAAUGAAGAGAGAGUUGUGGGAUACAUAUCCAACUCCAAAAAUCACUUCAAGUUUUAAAAAUCAGAUUGACAUCUUGCUUCCCUUUGAAAAUGAGUUCUCUCCCAUCCAUGUUGAACAUUCCUCACUGGAACUGAUGGGGAACAAGACUUGCUCAACUUCUCAAGCAGAUGUCAGCAGAGAACAUCAUAAUCACCAGAGUAUCAGGAGCAGUGCUGAUUCAGCUUCAGGGGGUCAUGCUC